rnacentral:rRNA from 1 species
CUUUACUAUAGCUUCACAUUGACAUCGGCUGCCCGAUGUGUAGGAUAGGUGGGAGACUUUGAAGCGGUGUCGCUAGGCAUCGUGGAGUCAACGUUGAAAUACCACCCUUCUGUCAUCUGAUGUCUAAUCCCUGCGAAACAGGGAAACAGUGUGUGGUGGGUAGUUUGACUGGGGUGGUCGCCUCCAAAAGUGUAUCGGAGGCUUUCAAAGGUACCCUCAGCACGCUUGGUAACCGUGCGUUGAGUGCAUUGGCAUAAGGGUGCUUGACUGCGAGACCAACAAGUCGACCAGGUAGGAAACUAGGACAAAGUGAUCCGGUGGUUCCAUAUGGAAGGGCCAUCGCUCAUAGGAUAAAAGGUA